GUGGGCAGGGCUGAAGGUCCAUUCACAGCCCGUAAACCCCUCAGUCUCAGGGAUCGGGGGUGCUGGUAGUGGGACUGGGAGAAUAGUCUUAAUCUCUCAGGUGGAGGCCUGAGCCCUCAGACCCUACUGCCUAGUAGCUUGACAACUGGUGGUGUCCCCACAAGUUAGGGAAAAGACUCCCAGCCACUCCUUGAGAUGGG
rnacentral:lncRNA from 1 species